AAAAAUUCCUUCGUUUAACAUCACGCCCCAACGGUCAAAGGGAGGCAACUGUCACCGCGCACCUGUUCACAUCUCGCGUGACCCGCCAGUUUACAAACUGUGUCACAGUGAGAUAGAUGACAGGACCAUGGGCAGGGCGAUGGCGAGCGAGGGGUACCCUCCUUUCAAACUCAACAGCCCCAGAUAUGAUCAAGGUACCUACCUGGGCCGACUGCGCCACUUCAUUGACGUGUUAGAUCCACGGACACUCUUCACGACAGAGGCUAAACUGCAGGCUUCAGUGACUCUGCUAAAGGACUAUCGUCAUGGCAACCUCAACUCCACCACUACGGACAAGCAACUCUGGGAAGCUCAGAAAAUUAAACAGUCCAUGAUCCACCCUGACACAGGAGAGAAGAUCUUCAUGCCGUUCCGUAUGUCAGGGAAUGUCCCUUUUGGAGCUCCUAUCGUAACCGGCCUUCUGCUGCCCAACCCCUCCAUGUUCCACACCAUUUUCUGGCAGUGGUUGAACCAGAGUCACAACGCCGGUAUUAACUUCUGUAAUAGAAAUGCCACUAAGGAAACUCCUACAUCCAGGUUCCUGAUUGGCUACUGCGGCGCUGUCACAAGUGCUUUAUCUAUCGCCGUAGGUCUGAAUCUGCUGAUAAGGAAAGCUCACAAGUUCAGACCAGCCACAAAACUGCUGAUACAGAAAUUUAUUCCCUUUCCAGCUGUAGCCACAGCCAGCACCUGCAAUGUUCUCCUCAUGAGGAACUUUGAGCUGUCGGAAGGUAUUGAGGUGUUUGACCAGAAUGAGAAGAUGGUUGGAACAUCCAAGGUUGCUGCCAGGAAAGCUCUGAAGGAGACGGCCUUGACCCGGAUGUUCCUGCCAGCUCCAGUUCUCAUCAUCCCUCCAAUCAUCAUGGCUGCCUUGGAAAAAACCAAGUUUCUCAAGACAUAUCCAAGAAUCCACUUGCCAUUCAAUGCAGUUGUGUGUACAGCAAUGUUUGGACUUGCACUUCCUAUGGCCUUAGCACUGUUUCCUCAACUCUCACAGGAACUGUCAAGAGACUGAAACAUAGACUCGUCACGUAAAACAAGAAACACGUAGGGACAUUCAUACAUGACAUCCAGCCAUGUAACAUGUUGGUUAGCGGCCAUUUUCUCCACUGAAUGGAAGAUAGAGGUACUGUAUCUUGAACCAGUGUUCCAGGAUCUCACUCAGGAGAGUGUACUGUACUACAACAAGGGUCUGUGAUCACCAGGUGGACAACUGACUCUAGAAUCAGAGAUCCAGAUCUCACCCAGGAGAGUGUGCUGCACUACAACAAGGGUCUGUGAUCACCAGGUGGACAACUGACUCUAGAAUCAAAGAUCCAGAUCUCACCCAGGAGAGUGUGCUGCACUACAACAAGGGUCUGUGAUCACCAGGUGGACAACUGACUCUAGAAUCAAAGAUCCAGAUCUCACCCAGGAGAGUGUGCUGCACUACAAGGGUCUGUGAUCACCAGUUGGACAACUGACUCUAGAAUCUGAGAUCCAAGAUCUCACCCAGGAGAGCGUGCUAAACUACAAGGGUCUGUGAUCACCAGGUGGACAACUGACUCUAGAAUCAGAGAUCCAGAUCUCACCCAGGAGAGUGUGCUGCACUACAAGGGUCUGUGAUCACCAGGUGGACAACUGACUCUAGAAUCAGAGAUCCAGAUAUCACCCAGGAGAGUGUGCUGCACUACAAGGGUCUGUGAUCACCAGGUGGACAACUGACUCUAGAAUCAAAGAUCCAGAUCCCACCCAGGAGAGUGUGCUGCACUACAAGGGUCUGUGAUCACCAGGUGGACAACUGACUCUAGAAUCAGAGAUCCAGGAUCUCACCCAGGAGAGUGUGCUGCACUACAAGGGUCUGUGAUUAUCAGGUGGACAACUGACUCUAGAAUCAGUGAUCCAGGAUCUCACCCACGAGAGUGUGCUGCACUACAAGGGUCUGUGAUCACCAGGUGGACAACUGACUCUAGAAUCAAAGAUCCAGAUCUCACCCAGGAGAGUGUGCUGCACUACAAGGGUCUGUGAUCACCAGGUGGACAACUGACUCUAGAAUCAGAGAUCCAGGAUCUCACCCAUGAGAGUGUGCUGCACUACAAGGGUCUGUGAUUAUCAGGUGGACAAUUGACUAGAGUUCAGGGAUAUUAUGAAUAUAAUGAGUUGUUGAAAAUGUCAGAGUAAACAAAUAUAUAUGGAAUGGUGGAAUUUAAGUCUUGCAUAUUUUUGUUUUAUAUGUAUAUAUAUUUCAUAUAUUUUAUAGCCACAGUUAAAUGUAUUGUUUGCUGAUGGUUGCUGAAGUUAAUUUAUUCAUUUAAUUGUAAAUGUGCAUUUAAACUUGAGCCGGAAAAUUGUCAUAUUGGUUUUAAAAGGACCUUGAUUAUUCAAGGGUUAACAUUUGUCAUAUAUUGUUAUGAAUAUUGUGCCGUUUCAUAUAUUUUUUAUGGAGGAAUUAACUUUGAGAAAUAAAUGUUUUUCUGCAGUUGAUCUCAACCCCAUAUCUAAUUUCCAACAUGAGUAUAUACAAUGGUGCUGUCAAAAUAAUUUGUAUAAAAUUAUAUCAUUAGUACCAUGCUUGUACCAUUCUGGUAAUCUGGUGUCGUGUAUCACCUGCCAUCAUGAUUCCUGUAUGACUUUUUGUUUGGUGUGAGUAUGUACUUUGUAUGAUAAUUUAACAUGUUUUUAAAACUU
rnacentral:misc_RNA from 1 species